rnacentral:rRNA from 1 species
AGGUGGGGAUGACGUCAAAUCAUCAUGCCCCUUAUGACCUGGGCUACACACGUGCUACAAUGGGAAGUACAACGAGUCGCGAAGUCGCGAGGCUAAGCUAAUCUCUUAAAGCUUCUCUCAGUUCGGAUUGCAGGCUGCAACUCGCCUGCAUGAAGCCGGAAUCGCUAGUAAUCGCGGAUCAGCACGCCGCGGUGAAUACGUUCCCGGGCCUUGUACACACCGCCCGUCACACCACGAGAGUUUGUAACACCCGAAGUCGGUGAGGUAACCUUUUGGAGCCAGCCGCCUAAGGUGGGAUAGAUGAUUGGGGUGAAGUCGUAACAAGGUAGCCGUAUCGGAAGGUGCGGCUGGAUCACCUCCUUU